rnacentral:rRNA from 1 species
UACGUAGGCAGCAAGCGUUGUUCGGAGUUACUGGGCGUAAAGGGUGUGUAGGCGGUUGGGUAAGUGGGGGGUGAAAUCUCCCGGCUUAACUGGGAGGGUGCGCUACAAACUGUCUGACUAGAGUGUGGGAUGGGUAAGUGGAAUUCCUGGUGUAGCGGUGAAAUGCGUAGAUAUCUGGAGGAACACCGGUGGCGAAGGCGGGUCUCUGGGCCGAUACUGACGCUGAGGAGCGAAAGCGUGGGGAGCGAACAGG